CCCUUAGAUGUUCUGGGCCGCACGCGCGCUACACUGAUGCAUUCAACGAGUCUAAAACCUGCUCUGAUAGGGGUGGGUAAUCUUUUGAAUGUGCAUCGUGAUUGGGAUAGAUGAUUGAAAUUUUUCAUCUUCAACGAGGAAUGCCUAGUAAACGCAAGUCAUCAGCUUGCAUUGAUUACGUCCCUGCCCUUUGUACACACCGCCCGUCGCUACUACCGAUUGAACGGUUUAGUGAGGGCCUCGGAUUGGUCUCGGCCCGCUCUUUACCGGGCGGCGCCGUUGGUCGAGAAGACGCUCGAACUUGAUCGUUUAGAGGAAGUAAAAGUCGUAACA
rnacentral:rRNA from 1 species